GGCAAAAUUUGUAGAAAUUUUAUGUUAUUAUCCUUUGACAAAAUCUUUUUUUCUCGCACGAAGUCUAAAAAAAUCUGGGUAGAAAGAGUUAUAUUUUAGUUUAUUAAGUUAUACUGGCUAUUUUAUUUGCAUCUUGAUCAGAUUUUAAAGUCUAGAUUGAUCUUUUCCAUAUGUUUGUUCCAUCGCAUGCUAAAACAACAACGAAAUAUCUCUCCAAAGCGGGUGAAAAUAUAGUGGAAAAUCGAUGUUUAGAUAAAUUUAACAAAUAUUUAUAUAACCUAGCACGAAAUAUUAAGAAAAGAUCAAAGAGAUUCAAGAAAAAA